UACGUAGGGUGCGAGCGUUGUCCGGAAUUAUUGGGCGUAAAGAGCUCGUAGGCGGUUUGUCGCGUCUGCUGUGAAAACUCGGGGCUUAACCCCGGGCCUGCAGUGGGUACGGGCAGACUAGAGUGCGGUAGGGGAGACUGGAAUUCCUGGUGUAGCGGUGAAAUGCGUAGAUAUCAGGAGGAAUACCGGGUGGCGAAAGCGACUCUCUGGACGGCAACUGACGCUGAGGCGCGAAAGCCAGGGGAGCAAACGGG
rnacentral:rRNA from 1 species